UACGUAGGGUGCGAGCGUUGUCCGGAAUUACUGGGCGUAAAGAGCUCGUAGGUGGUUUGUCGCGUUGUUCGUGAAAACUCACAGCUUAACUGUGGGCGUGCGGGCGAUACGGGCAGACUGGAGUACUGCAGGGGAGACUGGAAUUCCUGGUGUAGCGGUGGAAGUGCGCAGAUAUCAGGAGGAACACCAGUGGCGAAGGCGGCUUUCUGGGUCCGCCCUGACGCGUGAGGCGGCGAAAGCGUGGGGAGCGAACGGG
rnacentral:rRNA from 1 species